GAUAUGGCUCAGAUUGAACGCUGGCGGCAGGCCUAACACAUGCAAGUCGAACGGUAACAGAAAGCAGCUUGCUGCUUUGCUGACGAGUGGCGGACGGGUGAGUAAUGUCUGGGAAACUGCCCGAUGGAGGGGGAUAACUACUGGAAACGGUAGCUAAUACCGCAUAACGUCGCAAGACCAAAGAGGGGACCUUCGGCCUCUUGCCAUCGGAUGUGCCCAGAUGGGAGUUAGCUAGUAGGU
rnacentral:rRNA from 1 species